rnacentral:tRNA from 1 species
CAUUAAAUGUCUGAAAGUAAGAAAUGGCCUCUUAAGCCACAUUAUAGUAAUUAACGACUACUUUUAAUGG